rnacentral:SRP_RNA from 1 species
GGGUAGACUAGGCUGGGUGGUUAGUCCUCACUUGUUACCUAUAACGGACUUAUGUAGGAGCCGAAGCUUGAUAAGAGCUCUAUAUUUUGGCUUGCGGUCCAAAUCUUAACUAUGAAAUUUGGUCUUGCAGGACUUGUGAUUUUACGAACUAUGUCAGAUCCUGACGGAAGCAGCAUUAAGUAAAUCUACAGGUGCUUGCGAGGCAGCCAGGUUGAGAAAGGAUUUGGGUUAAACCAAAGGCUGAUUUAUACUGCCAUUAUUGGGCGUGUCUACCC